GUGGAUGUAGCUCAGUUGGCAGAGCACUAGAUUGUGGUUCUAGUGGCCGCGGGUUCAAUCCCCGUCAUCCACCCCA
rnacentral:tRNA from 1 species